UGAAUAAUUUUAACACAAUUAGAGAGAUCAUACAACAUGCAUGUUAGUUUUUAUUUAGUACUGUCCUGGGUAAUAUAUUUUACAUAGAUGUUUAUAUAUAGUCCAUGACACAAAAAAAUUGCAGAAAUUAUUAAGAUAACCCCCUUCAAAAGUUUAAACAGGUAAAGGGUUAGUUCACCCCAAAAUGAUCAUUCUGUCAAUAAUUACCCACCUUUUGUAUGAUUUGUCUGAAAAAAUGUGCUCAAGUUUAACUAUUCAGAACAGAAAAGGGACUAAUGAACACAAAACAAAAGAACAAUCGUAGAUCAUCUAUAUAACCAUUUAAAACCAUUCAGACCUUUAUAAACCAUUUAGGUUCAUAAAAGUAGUUAUUUUAAUAAUUUUAGACAUGUUUUGACUUGUGAACCAUAUGGAAACAUCGUUGAUGUUAAAUAUCUUAGUCAGGACAAUACAAAUAUAAAAUAACAUGCAUAUUGUAUGAUUUCUCUUUUGUUAAACACAUUUUUGCAGGAUCUGCUAGGGAUUUCCAAACAUUUGUGAGUCAUGACAAUGGGUCUGUCAUUUAGAAACAUGGCUUUUCAUAUUACCGCUAUUAAAAUAACAAUUCUCUCUCUCUCUCUCUCUCUCUCUCUCUCUCUCUCUCUCAUUUCAGCUGGAUGUCCCGACAGUUGCUGCUCUCAUCUUUGCCUCCUGGACAGAAAUAUCUUGCUGUAUGUUGAAUGAUCAUCAACUCAACCCUGCCAAGAUAGAACUUUUCAUGUUUCCAGCUGAUCUAACUUUGGUGUUAUUGUUGACGCAUAUAUAAAUUGCACUGGCCCGAUCCUGCAGAUUUGCCCUGUACAACAUUAUGAAGAUCAGACUCUUUCUUUUGGGCCGUGCUACAGAACUCCCUGUCCAAGCUCUUGUUCUCUCCAAACUGGACUGUUGUAUUGCUCUCUUAGCAGACUUUCCAGCAUCUACUACCAAGCCUCUGCAGCUAAUCCAGCCUAUGGCACUGAGACUGAUCUUCAACAAGCUGAAGAGUGCAGGUCACUUUUUUAUUUUAUAUAUAAACUGCUGUGUCUACUGUGUUAGACUAACUUGGAUUUGGUAUGUUGCUUUGGAUAAAAUGUCAGUGUAAAUGUAUAAAGGUAUACAGCAAUUGCCAUUUAAUGUAGGUAUUUUUGCAUGCUCUAAUUUAUUUUCUAUAAUUGGAUUGUUCAUUUAACUUGACAUACAGUGCUUCUGUUCAAUUAUUAAUACUGUGAAUGUGCAGGUUCCUUAUAUAAGUACAAAAUAUACAGUAGAGAUCAUUGCUCCACUGUCUAAACAUGUUAAACUGUAAUAUGUCUGGAAAAUAAACUAUUAAGACAUAUCUACAGACAUUUGUAUUUGUAUUUUUGUAUUAUGAAUUGAGUAUAUUUUUAUACAACAUUUCUUGAUUAUUGUAAUUAAUAAUAUCUGUAUUUAUACAGUAAAUGCCUUUUAAUUUACAGAGAUUAAAUAUACAACCCUUUUUCAAAUAUGUGCUUUCUGGAUUUAUUUCAUCGUUAUUGUACAUGAGGAAAACUAUACUUUUACAAUAAAUUAAUGUAAAUGGACAGAUCAGUUUUAUAAAAUAACAAAUUAAAUCCUUAAAUUUAUGGUGAUUAACCUGACAGUUGGUGGUUUAUCUAAAGUUAUUUGACAGAAUGUAUCUGUUUUUCUAUAGUUUAAAAAAUAUUUAUCAACAGUAAUAUUCUGUAAUUUAAGUACUUUUGACCAUAAAGUCUAUUCUGUACUGUAUACUGUUUUUACAGUUUUUUGCUAGUAAUUUUUAUGAAAUGGUAAUUUCUGUAAUUUAACAGAUUAUCUCUGGAAGCCCCGCUGCCAAGUCCCUUAACCGUUUUUUUACAGGAUUUUUUUUUACAGUGUAGAUAGAUAGAUAGAUAACUUAUAUUACUUAUAUUUACUUCUACUUAUAUUUAGUUUAAAAUACCAUAUUUAGUCACAAAACCAGGCAAGCGCUCCCAACCCGACAACCAGGGGAGUGCUGAAUGGACAGCGCCAUAUCAGCACCCGUGUUGUGGAAAGCUGCAGAGCACAUUGCAGCGGGGCGGAGCUGCAUAAUGAGGCACGGCUGGAAGCUCAUAAGGAGAACGCCAACUCUCCAUGCUCAUCAAGGAGAAGGAGGAAUAUAAAAUAAUCCACGAAGGAGUACAGAGAGGGGGGAAUGGUUGGCAUCCACCUAAUGAACGAGUUGUUUCUCUGUUUUCUUAACAGGACGUAGUGACAGCGGCGAGAGUUAUCGCAGCGAAUACGCCGACCCUCUUCCAAAGACUUUCUAAAGAUCUCUACGUGGCCGCGAACAACACUCCUUUGGGGCGGCGCUACGUCGGAAGCUCCAGCAGACGCGGUGUUAAGGACUAAUUCACAUUCCGGUACAAAAUUGCACUCCUUUUUCCCCCGGCUCUCCUGUAUACCACAAAUAAAGACACAACGUGAUUUUCCUGACAUUCAACUAUCGUGUGUCGCUACAUUAUAUAUAAUCAUAUUUAUGAAAAGGUUCAGUAAAACUCCAGACACCAGCGUCUGACUUUUUAACCGUACACGCUGCACUUCGAAUUUCUGUUCGACGCUGUGAUUGGACCAUUUUGAGGCACGUUCAUCAGAGCGUUCAUUGAUUAGCUGAAUAAAUGUCUUCCAUCCUCAACGAGGAGAGGAGAUCUUCAGACAGAAUCUUUAUUCUGAUUGCAGCUCCUUGGUGAUUCCAGCAGACCUCUUCAGGAAAACGCUCUGAGGCUGCUAAGGGCCGCUGGAAGAAACUGGACCUGGCAAAUGUGGCGAGCAGCCCACCAACCAUGGUUAAGAAGGAUGAUGGAGAAAGAUGGAUGGAUCAACAAUCCCCAGCAACACUGAGGACAAAAGUGUUUGCUCCCACAUCGAACAGAUACGUGUUCACAGCAAAUAUAUGCCACAUAAAACACCACAUAACUGCUAUUGUUUACAUUGUUCAUGAUUAACAGUUUAAGUGUCUUGGCUGAAAUGUAAUAAAGUUAAUAAGUCAAAAUAUAGUUCACUCUCAGUUGUCGCAUUUGAUGCUGUGAGAUGCUUUGCUUCUGCCUAUAUUAGCAUCAACAACAAGAGUUCCUGUUACCACACACCAUGGAAACCAACGAGUAAAAGAUGAUACCCAGUACCACACUGCACAGAUUGGAGAGGCCAACAGUAGUAAGCAGAAACAUCUCCAAGCCUGUGUCAGUGUGCCCAGGGUCAUAUCUGUCCAAGCAUCUCAUUGCCAGGGUGAUGCAAAAAAGGUCUGACAAAUUUUCUCCAGACACUCAGUGUACAUGUGUAGCACUGCAGUUUCUGGCAUACCAGAGCAAGGGAACAUGGUUUACAACUGGGAUUAAUUUAUGGUCUGAAAGUGGUGUAGGGAGAAGAUGAGAGUGUGUGACCGUGUUCCUCAUGGUGUGUGUGAUAUGUAGAACAUGUCUAAACGUGCUGCAGAAACCCUGCCUGUGUGGAACUUCACCCACGUGUACUGACGUGUUCGUGGGUUGUUUUCUCUCCAUCUGUCUGAGAAGUUCAGGGAUUAAGUUCUUACUCUUGCUGAUUCAGCAUGUGGUCUCCCCCCAGGAGAAUAAAGUCCCUCCACUGGUGUUUUCUUCUCUAACGUUCUCUAACUUAGAGAAAAGCUUCACCCUCUCUGACCCUGUGUUAGGAGCAGAAAUAUUUACAAACAAAACAUUGAAGUGGUUGAUUUCAGCUCUCACUAUGAGAGUCUACCUGGCUCCACCUCAUCCUGUGAGAAGAUUUGUGCUUUAACAUUAGGUGAGAACAGAAAGGCGACUCCAGCACUAAUAUUAGAUCCAUCACUCAAGAUUUUUCCUUCUUUCCACCACAAGCCCCAAUACACCUCAUUGCCCUCAUCACUAUGUGUCUCCUGCAGGAAGAUACUACUCAGUUUCUUUAAGCCUUUACUUUCUGAAGUAUUUCUCUUUUUUUCUGUCCUUUAUCUCAUUUACAGUCAGGGAUCCCACCUGCAGAAUCUUAAUGAGAAAGAUAGAGAUAAUAGAGAGCUGAUAGAGAGGAAAACAGGAGAGGAAACAUGAUGACUAUGUAGAUUUCCUCUUGUUAGUCUCUUUUCCAGGUUGUUUAACAUGUCUGAUUGCUGUUGAGAGUUUUUUUAUUGAAGAUGUUUCUGCUGUGGUUCAGAGCGAACAUGUUUUCCUCAGAAGACACAAACUUUUCUAGAUGGGGAAAGAAAUCACUUACUUCAACACCUACUUUUUCUUUAGUCUCAUCCAAAAAUCUGUUUAUUUGUUCAACAGAGUAAAGAUCCUGUUCCUCA